rnacentral:rRNA from 1 species
ACGGGUGAGUAAUGUCUGGGAAACUGCCUGAUGGAGGGGGAUAACUACUGGAAACGGUAGCUAAUACCGCAUAACGUCGCAAGACCAAAGAGGGGGACCUUCGGGCCUCUUGCCAUCAGAUGUGCCCAGAUGGGAUUAGCUAGUAGGUGGGGUAACGGCUCACCUAGGCGACGAUCCCUAGCUGGUCUGAGAGGAUGACCAGCCACACUGGAACUGAGACACGGUCCAGACUCCUACGGGAAGCAGCAUG